rnacentral:rRNA from 1 species
GACGAACGCUGGCGGCGUGCCUAAUACAUGCCAGUUGAGCGCUGAAGGUUGGUACUUGUACCGACUGGAUGAGCAGCGAACGGGUGAGUAACGCGUGGGUAACCUGCCUUUGAGCGGGGGACAACAUUUGGAAACGAAUGCUAAUACCGCAUAAAAACUUUAAACACAAGUUUUAAGUUUGAAAGAUGCAAUUGCAUCACCUAAAGAUGAUCCCGCGUUGUAUUAGCUAGUUGGUGAGGUAAAGGCUCAACAAGGCGAUGAUACAUAGGCGACCUGAGAGGGGGGACGGCCAAAUCGGGAAUUGGAAACGGCCCAAAAUUCUAAGGGAGGCAGCAGUAGGGAAUCUUCGGCAAUGGGGGAAAGUCUGACCGAGCAACGCCGGGGGAGUGGAGGAGGGUUUCGGAUCGGAAAACUCCGUUGAUAGGGAAGAACGUUGGGGAGAGUGGAAAGCUCAUAAAGUGACGGUACCUACCCAGAAAGGGACGGCUAACUACGUG